rfam:Schizosaccharomyces cryophilus OY26 unplaced genomic scaffold supercont4.10, whole genome shotgun sequence.
UCCCGGGUAGCUCAAUCGGUUUAGAGCGUCUGACUCUUAUAAAGGAGGAUAUCAGAAGGUUGCGAGUUCGAGUCUCGCCUUGGGAG